rnacentral:lncRNA from 1 species
CUAUUUCUUUUGUUUGUUUCUUUUUUUUGUUUCUUUUUUUAGAUACAAAUUUGUAAUCUCUAAAAAGUGUUUUCUGUUUUAGAAAACUCACGGAAAGGACAGCCACUAACAGCCACGGACAGCCUGAUGGGAUAUCUCUGUGUAGUGACCAGUCAAGAUCGAUUGGGCCAGACUUCGGUGAAGAUAAUAAUGAUGAAUCUGUAAUACUGGAGGAUAACAAACUCCAUGAAGGAUCAUGUGGCAUUUGCCUUGGGAAUGUCCAUUAUGCUCUAAAACACUGUAAGACGUGCAGUGUCUCCUACUGUGAGACUCAUGUGGCAGACCACUACAAAUGUCCAGCCUUUUCUUCACAUGAAUUAGUUGAAUACAAACAGAAAUCAAGAGUGUCUCCAUCAACAGAACAUCCACUUCAACGGAGCAGUUCAGGUAAAAUGUGGUGCUUUGUUAUAGACCCUUUGUAAUGACGUGAAGGGUGUGCGAUAUGAGCUAUAUCUCAUAUCCUGAUGUAGGUCAGUUGAUAUACUGUAUAUCAUUAUCAGGAUAUCACGAUAUAGAAUUUGCUGUAUAUUCAAUGAAUGGAUAGUUUAUAUAAAUGCCUUGAUAUGUAUGUACUGUAUAUUUCACCUAACUACAAAUAUUGAUGCAAAAGUGCCAUAUAUGGUUAUAUUCUGGAAAACCUCAGCAAAAUAACAUGAGAGCAAAAGAUAUGUAGUCAAAUAUUGUUUUAUCUAAAUCCAAUAUAAACAUACCCUUACAAAAACCUAGUUUCAAAGGUGAACCUUAUAGACAUAGGGGUUAGCUACGCAUAGGUGAUUACAGCAUUAUUAUUACAGUAGUAUAUGGUUUCACUAUUAAAUGUUAGUCAAAGCAACUGUUUCUUCCCCGAAACCAGUGUCCCUACACAAUGAUUAUUAAUGAGAUUGCCUUUCAAAGACAAUGGCUUGUAAACAUGGAUGCCGUUAUUUACAGGUUAAUUGCUAUACAGUAGCCUAAUACUUAUUUUUGCAUAGACAACAAACAUCAAAGUACACUGUAAACCUGAAC